rnacentral:rRNA from 1 species
UGGGGAAUAUUGCACAAUGGGCGCAAGCCUGAUGCAGCCAUGCCGCGUGUGUGAAGAAGGCCUUCGGGUUGUAAAGCACUUUCAGCGGGGAGGAAGGCGGUGAGGUUAAUAACCUCAUCGAUUGACGUUACCCGCAGAAGAAGCACCGGCUAACUCCGUGCCAGCAGCCGCGGUAAUACGGAGGGUGCAAGCGUUAAUCGGAAUUACUGGGCGUAAAGCGCACGCAGGCGGUCUGUCAAGUCGGAUGUGAAAUCCCCGGGCUCAACCUGGGAACUGCAUUCGAAACUGGCAGGCUAGAGUCUUGUAGAGGGGGGUAGAAUUCCAGGUGUAGCGGUGAAAUGCGUAGAGAUCUGGAGGAAUACCGGUGGGGAAGGCGGCCCCCUGGACAAAGACUGACGCUCAGGUGGGAAAGCGUGGGGAGCAAACAGG